AGCUGUUCCAGUGCUGUGUGCUUGACAGCAAGGUGUAGCAGGCAGCUUCAUUUGAAAAGGCUUUGCUUUCUGCCACAGGCCUGACGUGUGCAUUUAUCUUUGGAACCCAAACUUCUGAAUCAGAUUACUAGAGAAGCCAUGGAAAAUGGCUGCUAGAGAGACCCUGUGCAUUAUGGGAGGUUCUUAAAGCCAUCUGUAUGUUCCGUUGAGGAUAAGGCUGCUUGGCUAAGGGCCAUGGCUUCCAUAAGAAAGGACAACUGUAUUUAACCUCAGAUGAACACCAAUGAGCAAAUGAAGCAAGUGCUAAUAUUUCUGGCAAGGAAAAGGAAUGCCUGUUCAAAAAUA